AUUAGGGCCAUCGGGACGCCGAAGGUCACUCCAUCUCUGAUCUUCACCAUUACGGUUGCUACAGUCGGCUCCUUCCAGUUUGGCUACAACACUGGGGUCAUCAAUGCCGCUUAGAUGAUCAUAAGGGAAUUUAUCAACACUUUGAAGGACAAGGCAAAUACUCCUCCCUCUGAGAUCUUGUUCGUGUCCCUCUGGUCUCUGUCUGUGGCCAUUUUCUCCAUUGGUGGUAUGAUUGGCUCCUUUUCUGUUAAAUUCUUUGUCAACCGCUUUGGCAGGCACAAUUCAAUGCUUAUCAUCAACCUGGUGGUUGUCACUAGAGGCUGCCUUACGGGAUUGUUUAAAGUAGCUGAGUCAGUUGAAAUGCUGAUCCUGGGCCACUUGGUUAUUGGCCUCUUCUGUGGACUCUGCACAGGUUUUGUGCUCAUAUGUAUCUCACCUACUGUGCUGCGGGUGGCUUUGGCACUCUCAACCAGCUAGGCAUUGUUAUCGGAAUUCUGGCAAACCAGAUCUUUAGUCUGGAAUUCAUCCUGGGGUCUGAAGAGCUAUGGCUCAGGCUAUGAGGCUUUACCAUCUUUCCUGCUCUCCUACAAAGUGCAGCCCUUCCAUUUUGCCCUGAAAGUCCCACAUUCUUGCUCAUUCAGAGAAAAGAAGAGGAGAAUGCUAAGGAGAUCCUCCUUAGGAUGCAUCCCACGACAUCUAGGAGAUGAAAGAUGAGAGUGCAAGGACGGCACAAGAAAAGCAAGUCACCGUGCUGGAGCUCUUUAGCGUAUCCAGCUACCGACAGCCCAUCAUCAUUUCCAUCGUGCUCAGCUCUCUCAGCAGCUCUCUGGAAUCUGCUGUGUUCUGUUACCCAACAGGAAUCUUCAAGGGUGCAGGUGUUCAAGAGCCCAUCUAUGCCAAUGUCGGUGUGGGUGUGGUUAACACUGUCUUCACUGUAGUUUCCCUAUUUCUGGUGGAAAGGGCAGGAAGAAGGACUUUAGAUAUGACAGACUUUGGAGGGAUGACUUUUUGUUCCAUCCUCACGACUGUUUCGUUGUUAUUAAAGGACGAGUAUAAUGGGAUAAGCUUUGUCUGUAUUGGGGCUAUCUUGGUCUUUGUGGCCUUCUUUGAAAUUGGGCCAGGCCCCAUUCCCUGAUUUAUUGUGGCUGAACUCUUCAACCAGGGCCCUGGUCCAACUGUGAUGGUAGUGGCCAGCUGCUCCAAUCGGACCUCCAACUUCCUAGCCUUCUGCUGCUUACUGUUUAGGAGUCUAUGUUUUUAUUAUCUUCACCAGCUUCCUCAUUACCUUCUUGAUCUUUAUCGUCUUCAGAGUCUCUGAGACCUGUCACAGGACUUUUGAGGAUAUCGCACAGGACUUUGAAGGGCAGGCACAUUAUGCGAAUAGAUCCAGAAGGACCGCAUCGUGGAGAUGAACAGCAACCAGCCUGCUAAGGAGACCACCACCAUUGUCUAAGUCAUGCCUCCUUCCACCUCCCGCUCAUCAUGGGAAAGCCACCUCUCCCUGAACAAGGGAGGUACUCAUCAGGAUGAACCCAGGACUGCUUCUGAAUGCUGCUACUCAAUUCCUUUCUCCCACAAGGCUGGGGCUUGUUAGAUUUUCAAUGGCUUUUUAAAUAUUUCAUUUCUUGGACAUUCUCUUUCACUUAGGAGAGACCAAGUGAACCUACCUUCAUUUCAGGAGGGAUUGGCCACUUGGCAUAUGACAGCUUUGCCAGCUCUUCCUCUCUUGGAUUCUAAUAUUGCCCCAUUAGAGGAUAUGGGGGAGGAAGGGUAAGGUACAGUUGCCCCAACUUCAGACUUACCAGGAAGCAGAUACACAAGUGUGGAAAGCAGAGGGGGUUUAUGUAAGAGCACCUUCCUCAUUUCCAUACAGCUGUACACAGGAAAUUAACUUGAGUUUUAUUUAUUUUGCCUUCUGGUUUAAUUACAUAUAUUUAUUUUUUUAAGUGUACUUUUGCCAAGCAAUGAAAACAUAAGAAAAUUGGGGUGAAAGGGAGGUGUUUAAAAGACAUCAUAGAGUAGAAGAUUUGAUGCUUGAGUGGUAAGGUGCAAUAAGAAGAAUUUAGGGAGAAAUGCAAUUUGUUAUUGGAGGGUUUAUGAUACGGAGCCUGAGGUCUGCAUGUUGCCUCUUAACAAUUUCUGUCCUUCAGAUGGAAACUCUUAAGUUUAAUUUCUCAGAAAAGUAAUAUGCCUAUAUAAUAAAGCUACCGAUUUCUUUUGAAACUUUUAAAUUUAAGAUUAUAGUUUAUAUGUAGUAUUACUUGAAAUCUAAAAUUGUUAACUAAGAUGGGCAUUGUAGUUAAUCACAGUUGAUGGGCUCUAAUUUUGGAUGGAGUCCAGGGAAGGGAAAGUUAUUUCUAGAAAGCCUGUUCCUUCUUACUGGACCAAAAAACUCCUUCCCCUUGUAGUAGACUCAUUACUUUUUAAGUAAUCCCACCAUCCCUCUGGUGGGAGAGCCAUCCAAAUGAGAAAUCCAAAAUAAUUAGUUCUUGGUAGAGGUUCAUUAUUUCUCCAUUUUGUUCUUUAGGAGAUUUUAGGUGUUGAUUUUAUUUUAUUUUAACCCAUACCUUUAAAGGAAUUCCAAAAAGAAUGUUUAUGGCUAACUUGGAAUUUGACACCUCAGCUCUGGGAGAGGAUUUUUUUCCUGAACGAUUAUUAUCUAAAGCAUGUUGUUGCUUCAGGGUCACGGCAUGCUUGUCUAUGUCUGUUACCAUGCCACCAUGGUCCUGUGCUGAGUGCCCUUAGGGGACUUGAAUCUUUCCAGUAGGCCACGUUGGAGACAGUAUGAGUCAAUGUGCAGUGUAGCCCAUACUGCAAGGAUGAAUGUAUGUGCAGUGUCACUUUGCUCUGGGUGGCAGUAGGUUAUUGUUGACUUAUUUUCUCUGUGUUUGUUCCUACAGCCCCUUUUUCGUAUGUUGAUUGAUCUCCUUUUCCCUUCUUGGUGCUUACACAUCUCAGACUCUUUAGCUGAACCCUUGCCAAUAACAGUAUUUUGGUUUUCAGUUCUCACUGUUCCUUCUGGUCAUUGAGCCUUUGAAUAAAAAUGCAUAUAGCUAUGCAGUGGGGUUUAGCUGGAAAAGGUGACUUUUUUCCAGCUUCACCUCUACUUCUGGCUCCUCAAACAAUGGUUGGGCAGUAAGGCAUGGAAGUUGUUUUCUCGUUUCUCACUGACCAGAUUGUGAAUAUUUCCACAUGAAUUUUCUAUUAUUAAUGUUACUCUGGUUCUUUGUUUUAAAAUAAAAAUUCUGAAUAUACACAAUAAAAAAGACAUAAAAUAUUAUCACUCCCAUUUUACAGAUUAAAAAACUGAGAUUUAAAGCAGUUAUGUACUACUCACAGCCACACAACUAGGAUGAGGCAGAGCUAAAACUCAGCUCUGGUUCACUGCCAAGCCUGUGGUCUUAGAGACAUAUGUCAGGACUUGGUGUCAUCAGGGGAAUGGGGAGAGUGGUUCCAUUCUCCAAGCCCUCCCCUAAAGAAGUUUCUUAUAUUUUAUAAUGGUCAUACCGUAGACCGUCUUACCUCCUACCUGGGCUGAUUACAAUAAUCUGAAAGUGCUCUGUUUGAGGGGCAAUGGUAGUUACUGUGGAGAAGGGCUUCAAAGGAUAUUGAUGGUGGUGCCAGUUUACCUUCUGGACUGUGGCUGUAGCUGCAUGAUGUUGGGUUAAUGGUUAAUCUGUUCUUGUGUGAGUCAGCUAAUGCCCCUCCCAAGUCAUGUAAUGAGUUAACCCAAUUAAAAGACAUCUGCCCAACUAAUCUGAAUGUCAGACCUGAGUGUCAGCUCCUAUUUUAUACUCUAUAAAGGAAGAGGAAUUUUCACUUACUACUUGAAAUCUUCAAAUAAUGCAAUUGAUCUUUGUUUUCAGCUAACAGAAAGACUGUUUCCCUGAUAUUGUGUGUGUGCGUGUGUGUGUGUGUGUGUGUGUGUGUGUGUGUGUGUGUAUGAGACGGUGUUAUUUAACUUAAUGUUGACAUCAACUCUGUAGAAUUGUAUAUAUGCAGAUAAGUAGCUGGAAGCUCAGAAAGGUGAAGCCACUUGUUCAAGUUCAUGGAGUCAAUUUUCCUUUUACAACUCCAGGACAAUAAUUAUUAGGGUGGUUUGUUUAGUUUGUAUCCUAGUGGAUAACUGCCCUUCUUAGUGAUGAUGAUGAGAACCUGAAUAUCUCUAAGGGGACAUUAUUAUUCUGGACGUGUGAGACAUUGAAAAGAACAGGAGCUUUGAAUCUAGGUGUGUUCUGUUAAAAACUUCAGUUCCUGCCCUGCAAUAGUGUGAACACUGGCAAAUCACCUAGUCUCACCGCAGAAGGUGAUUGUGAGAAUAAAAGCAGAUGGCUGGGAGGUAGGGGCACUUAAAUACACAUUGGUCCUUUUCAGCACCUCAUUGCUGGAACUUGAGUGGGCAUCUCCAGCCUUCUCAAGCCAAUUGGUUAAAUACUCAGUGCAUUCUUGAGAGACAUUUUAAUUUAUUUUAAUUAAGUCAAACACCUGCCAUGUGGCAUUUUUAGGAAAAUUGAGGGAAGGUCUUGUGAAACUAGGCAAAUCAUAAAGCUUCCACAGGUUGGGAUUCAACAGACCAACCAGUGAGGCCCAUUACCCAGGAGGCACUAGACCAGGUGCCAUGAGCAUUCCAGGGAUGAACAGAAAAGCCUGCCAUACUGGAACUGAAAAAAAUCUGGUCAGGGAGAUAAAGCACAAACAGAUGGAAAGACAAACAGCAAUAGAAGGCAUUAAAGGACACAUUUCCAAGGCAAUAAAUAUGGUGACAUAGGCAAUAAAUAUGGUGUGAAUUCGGGACAGAGAAAGGGACCACUUAGGCCCCCAAAACCAUUCCUGACUCAUUUCCUAUGCUUUCUCCUUCUGUCCCUUCAUAGCCCUGUGGUUUUCUCUUAGAGUUACCGGUGCGCUUAUCUCUCUGUAACAAGGUGGAGAAAAUAUCACCAUUGCUUAACAGCUGGUGCCAGAUUUCUUCCUGAAAGAAAAUUAGGUGUAAUAGAAUAAAUAGGUUGGAAAAUGCUUGAGGUGGAAAGUUGAGACCAAGGAUCCAGCUGUUAGAGGACAGCCAACUCACCGUGCAUACUGCAGGGAGGUUUUGGAAAUUUUGGGAGGCAAUCUGUAAUGUAGAACAUGAGGGCAAAAGGAGGGAGGGGAGAGGGAAAAUGGAGAAAGCAGCUACUGGGGCAGCAGAGCUGUGAUUCCUACCUACCUCCAUCUUCAGGGAUGGCUGCCAAACCCAGGGAACCUUGUGUGAAUGCCUUCACUGCAACAUGAUGCAAAACAGAGUAGAAAUGAGAAGGUGAAAGUGUCCCUCCAGAAGUUAGCUCAUUCUUGAAAGGGCUUUACACAUCCACAGUCCAGGCAAUGUGUUGAGAGUUCAAACCAAGUUUACUCAGAUCUUUCAGUGACAGAAGGGCCUCAUCUGAUUUCUGAGUUUUAUCUCCAAUUCUUUUCUUUCCCCCUUGACCUUGCCCUCUUCUCCAAAGCUUACUUCGUACAGUGUCUGAUGUAUAGUAAGUGCUCUAUAAAUAUCAGUCAUGCUGAAUCAAAUAUAAAUAUUGUAUUAUACAUGGUUUCUGCUGUCAUGGUACCUAAAAUUGAGGGAAGACAACACACAUGCAUUUCAGACACAAAAAUAAACCUAAUCUUAACAAUACUGGGAAGGAUAUAAAUGUCAAUUAAAUAGGCCCAGCACUUUCCUGCCUCUUUGAUCUUUCAGUGUCCUUUGCAGUUCGGUUCACAUUUCACACGCUCCAUGAAGUCUGUCUGGAUUUUCAGUGAUGUUUCCUGUCUCUGAAAUCUUAUGACAUUUAUGUCUGUAUCAGCCAUUUGAUGCUUGAUUAUCUAUUUUUCAGAUGGAUGUCUUGCCUUUUCCUCUACACACUAGAGGAAGGGUAGCCACCCCUGGCAAGGGCCUAGUAUAGUCCCCUAUACAUGAAGCUGUUCAGUUGAUUGUUACUGAUCAUGUGUAUCCUGCAUCAUGUUAUCAAAAACUAACACAGUGCUUGGAACAUACUUGUACUGAAUAAGUAUUUGCUGAAUUGAGUUAAAGUGUUUGAUGCCAUAGACCUCUGAGAAUAUAUAAUUUCUAUGUAUCACACUCCUAGCAGGAUAAGAGAAAAUUAGAACUUGAGAAGAAGUCACAUCUAAUUCUUUUCUACUUUUAUUUCAUUUUGUUUCUAUUUUUUUAGAGAUGAGGUCUCACUCUGUCACCCAUGCUGGGGUGCAGUGGCACCAUCAUAGCUCACUACAACUUUGAACUCCUGGGUUCAAGCAAUCCUCCCACCUCAGCUUCCAAGUAGUUGGAGCUACAGCUGCAUACCACUGCGUAUGGCUAAUUUUUUUUUUUUUUUUCACUAGAGAGGUGGUCUCGCUAUGUUGCCACACUUGUCUUGAACUUCUAGCCUCAAGUGAUCCUCUUGCCUUGGCCUCCCAAAGUGCUGGGAUUACCAGCAGGAGCCACUGUGCCUGGCCAAUUAUUGUUCAGCUACAAUUUAUUUUCCUAUUGCUUUUUGGAAUGUAAUUUAAACUUUACACUUCAGUUACCCCAUUUUUCAAAUGCAUACAUCAUUUUGUGGCCAUUAACUUGUACACGGACACGGUAAAGUUAAAAAAUAAAGAUGCAUAGAAUUUUGAUGCUGAUAGGGAUCAUAAAAUAAUGUGAUCCAAACUAAGGAGCAAUCUGAGCUCAGAGACAUUAAAAAGACUGCUCUAAGUUUUUUUUUUUUUUAAUCUAUCGAAGAGAUCAUCCAGCAUGUAGUGUCCUGCUUUCUAACCCAGCAGUCUUUCCAGCACCCCAGGCUUGGUUGUCAGAAUAGCAUUUGCUCAUAAGAUGCUUUAAUUAUUAAUACAGUAUACUAAAUCCCAGGAGUAGAAUAAGCCUCGUUAUUAUGGCUAGUAAGUCAGCCCAAAGCAAUCUGAGAUUCCUGUAAAACUGAAUGGAUUUUGAAGUAAAGCAUCUUCGGGCACACUGCCCUCAGAGGGGGCCAUCAUCUCAUUUACCUAUUUAAAAAAAAAAAAACAUAAAUACGUGUUCUGUAUGGAUGUUCAUUAUGUCUUAAGCUUUAUUGAUUCUGUUAUGUUGCUCUUAAUUACAGAAACCACAAAAGUCUUUAAUUACAUUAAAGCUGUAAUAAAUAAGCUUAGUAACACUUA